rnacentral:rRNA from 1 species
UACGGAGGGGGCUAGCGUUGUUCGGAAUUACUGGGCGUAAAGCGCACGUAGGCGGCUUUGCAAGUCAGGGGUGAAAGCCCGGGGCUCAACCCCGGAAUAGCCUUUGAGACUGCAUCGCUUGAACAUCGGAGAGGUAAGUGGAAUUCCGAGUGUAGAGGUGAAAUUCGUAGAUAUUCGGAAGAACACCAGUGGCGAAGGCGACUUACUGGACGAUUGUUGACGCUGAGGUGCGAAAGCGUGGGGAGCAAACAGG